UACGUAGGUGGCAAGCGUUGUCCGGAUUUACUGGGCGUAAAGAGCGCGCAGGCGGUCGUUCAAGUCGAGUGUGAAAGCCCCCGGCUCAACUGGGGAGGGUCACUCGAUACUGAUCGACUCGAAGGCAGGAGAGGGAAGUGGAAUUCCCGGUGUAGUGGUGAAAUGCGUAGAUAUCGGGAGGAACACCAGUGGCGAAGGCGACUUCCUGGCCUGUUCUUGACGCUGAGGCGCGAAAGCUAGGGGAGCAAACGGGAUUAGAAACCCCCGUAGUCC
rnacentral:rRNA from 1 species